GAUGAACGCUGGCGGCGUGCCUAAUACAUGCAAGUCGAACGCAUAGCGAAAGGUGCUUGCACCUUUCAAGUGAGUGGCGAACGGGUGAGUAACACGUGGACAACCUGCCUCAAGGCUGGGGAUAACAUUUGGAAACAGAUGCUAAUACCGAAUAAAACUUAGUGUCGCAUGACACAAAGUUAAAAGGCGCUUCGGCGUCACCUAGAGAUGGAUCCGCGGUGCAUUAGUUAGUUGGUGGGGUAAAGGCCUACCAAGACAAUGAUGCAUAGCCGAGUUGAGAGACUGAUCGGCCACAUUGGGACUGAGACACGGCCCAAACUCCUACGGGAGGCUGCAGUAGGGAAUCUUCCACAAUGGGCGAAAGCCUGAUGGAGCAACGCCGCGUGUGUGGUGAAGGCUUUCGGGUCGUAAAGCACUGUUGUAUGGGAAGAACAGCUAGAAUAGGAAAUGAUUUUAGUUUGACGGUACCAUACCAGAAAGGGACGGCUAAAUACGUG
rnacentral:rRNA from 1 species